rnacentral:rRNA from 1 species
AUUGAACGCUGGCGGCAUGCCUUACACAUGCAAGUCGAACGGCAGCACGGGAGCAAUCCUGGUGGCGAGUGGCGAACGGGUGAGUAAAGUAUCGGAACGUGCCCAGUCGUGGGGGAUAACGUAGCGAAAGUUACGCUAAUACCGCAUACGAACUAUGGAUGAAAGCGGGGGAUCGCAAGACCCCGCGCGAUUGGAGCGGCCGAUACCAGAUUAGGUAGUUGGUGGGGUAAAGGCUCACCAAGCCGACGAUCUGUAGCUGGUCUGAGAGGACGACCAGCCACACUGGGACUGAGACACGGCACAGACUCCUACGGGAGGCAGCAGUGGGGAAUUUUGGACAAUGGGCGAAAGCCUGAUCCAGCCAUGCCGCGUGCAGGAUGAAGGCCUUCGGGUUGUAAACUGCUUUUGUACGGAACGAAAAGGUUUGGCCUAAUAAGCUGAGCUCAUGACGGUACCGUAAGAAUAAGCACCGGCUAACUACGUGCCAGCCGCCGCAGUAA